rnacentral:lncRNA from 1 species
CCCCCACGGCAGAAGCAUCCCCGACAGACACCCCCGACCCGGUCCCGUCCCGUCCCGUCCCCGAGGCUUCUGGAGCUGCGAGCACGAGCACAAGGGGAUGGGGGGAGGGAGGGAGGAGGAAGAGAAUGGGCAAGAGUCUCCGUCCAGGAGUUAAGCAGAUUGGACACUUCUGGCGCUGGUCUGAGCAGGAGGCGCGGCGAGGGGGGCAAGCCCUUCUCCUCUCCUCCCUCAGUUUGCGCGUCGCCCCUCCACCCCCGCCAGCCCGGAUGCACAGCGCCCCUGUUUGCGCCCUGGAGGGCUUGGCUUCUCGCCGGCGUCUCGGGGCGCGGCGCUGCGGCCCACCCCUGCAGCCCUGACCCGCCCCGUCCCGGCGCCCACCCCGCCCAGUGCGCUGGAAGGCUGGGCGGCGGCUCGGUCCGGUCCCGGAUCCUGAACCGGGGGCUGCCGGGUGAGUCCCAGGUUCAGGAGGCCCUCCGCCGCGGCGCACCUGCCCUGAGUCGCGGCACCGGGUCAGUGCCCUCCCGGCUCCGCCGGGCCCCUUUCCCCGCGUGCGCCUUCUCGCCCGGGGUGCGGGUGCGUUCCGGCGGGGCUGCCCACGAGUCGCCAGCAGCAAGUGCGCGUGGGCCGAGAGCCCGCGCGUGUCCCCGCGGCGGGGCUGCGCCGCCGGGGCGCGGCGCAGCAAGUGGAUCGGAGCGUGCGGAGCCCAGCGCCCGGGCGGCGGGUUGCGGGCGGGCUGCGGGCGGAGUGCAGACGAGCGUGGCCGGCCGCGGGGCAAGGAUGCGCGCGGGGAACUUUUCGACCGGCCUGGAAGUGCGAGCGGCCGCGCCCGAGGGGGCUCCCCGCGGCGGCCGGGAGGGAGGCGAGCGCGGGUGCCCGUCGCCACCCCUCCCCCACUUCCGCCGCCCGCCGCUUCCUCGUUCCCGGCUCCCAGGGCCCGGCCGUCCCGCGGGAGCCCCGGCAGCGCAGCCCCACCCCGGCCGGCGCGUCUCGCUCCCACGCCCCCGCAGCCGUCUCGCCGGAGCCCAGCCACCGAGGCAGCGGGGGCGCGGGGCGCUGCAGGUAGGGGCUCUGCGGCAGGGGCGCAGGGGCGACGGGCUGGCCGGGGGCCGGGGGCCGGCGGCACGAACUGGACGCCCCGGGGCCCUCGGCCUCCUCUCCACCCCCACCCCUCACCGCCCGCCCACCGGCGGGCGCGCCCCGGCCCUUUUUAGGGAAUUCUCUAGCUCCUGCGGACUCAAGGGCGGGUGGAGCGGAGACCAGGAGGGCGCUCUGCCUUUCACGGGCACCCCGGGCUCCCCAGACCUGGACUCCCUUCUCCCAGCACCUUUCGUCUCGUAA